rnacentral:rRNA from 1 species
GGGAAUAUUGCGCAAUGGAGGAAACUCUGACGCAGUGACGCCGCGUGCAGGAAGAAGGUUUUCGGAUUGUAAACUGCUUUAGACAGGGAAGAAAAAAGACAGUACCUGUAGAAUAAGCUCCGGCUAACUACGUGCCAGCAGCCGCGGUAAUACGUAGGGGGCUAGCGUUAUCCGGAAUUACUGGGCGUAAAGGGUGCGUAGGUGGUUUCUUAAGUCAGAGGUGAAAGGCUACGGCUCAACCGUAGUAAGCCUUUGAAACUGGGAAACUUGAGUGCAGGAGAGGAGAGUGGAAUUCCUAGUGUAGCGGUGAAAUGCGUAGAUAUUAGGAGGAACACCAGUUGCGAAGGCGGCUCUCUGGACUGUAACUGACACUGAGGCACGAAAGCGUGGGGAGCAAACAGG